GACGAACGCUGGCGGCGUGCUUAACACAUGCAAGUCGAACGGAAAGGCCCUGCUUGCAGGGUGCUCGAGUGGCGAACGGGUGAGUAACACGUGGGUGAUCUGCCCCUUACUUUGGGAUAAGCCUGGUAAACUGGUUCUAAUACUGGAUAGGACCAUGCUGUAGGUGGUGUGGUGGAAAGAUUAGUUUCGGUAAGGGAUGAGCUCGCGGCCUAUCAGCUUGUUGGUGUGGUAAUGGCCUACCAAGGCGUCGACGGGUAGCCGGCCUGAGAGGGUGGACGGCCACAUUGGGACUGAGAUACGGCCCAGACUCCUACGGGAGGCAGCAGUGGGGAAUAUUGCACAAUGGGCGCCAGCCUGAUGAAGCGACGCCGCGUGGGGGAUGACGGACUUCGGGUUGUAAACUCCUUUCAGCCAUGACGAAGCCCUUGUGGUGACGGUAGUGGUAGAAGAAGCACCGGCUAACUACGUG
rnacentral:rRNA from 1 species